rnacentral:sRNA from 1 species
GCUGGGUGUGGUGACGCACUCCUGUAAUCCCAGCAGCUGGGGAGACUGAGACAGGAGGAUUGAGUUCAAUGCCAGCCUCAGCAACUUAGUGAGGCCCUAGGUAACUCAGUGAGAUGCUGUCUCUA